rnacentral:lncRNA from 1 species
UUUUACAAAAAAUUUUAUUGUACAACUGAAAUGUUGAGAAAUUUUCUUCAUGAAAACCAAUAUUAUGGAUGCUUAAAAUUAAUUUUCAUCAAAGUAGUCAAAUAAUAUAUUAAUAUAUCAAAGUCAAUAUUACUGUCUUCAUCUUAUAGAUGAGAAAACUGAGUGUAAGAUACUUACUGAAUGGACAUAGGACCAUGAUGAGAGAAUCCCACCCAGCAAACAGGACACAAUUUAUUUGGAGGAAGUGUUAUUCUGUGUAUGAAGCUGUG